GUUUAAUUGAAACCUUCAAAUCAGAAUAUAUGGCAUAGAUUACAGAAUGUAAUAGCUUUUAGAAGCUAGAACAGUAGUAACAUUUAGCUUUCAAUAGAGAGAGAGCUGACGGUACAUGUACAUUACAAAUGCACCAACAACUAUCCCCAAAGCAAACGCUAUAACAACAUUCCUAGUUCCAAGAUUUAAAACUAUAUUAUCUGGCAGCCGAAAUCUGUAGCCUGAAAACUUGCUGGUUUUGGUAUUUUCAGUUGUAGUACCAGAUGGGAUAGUCUUCGGUUGGGUUCUUUCAUUUUCUUUAUUUUGCAGUGGCAAUGUCGACUUAUUAUUUUGAGAGGAGGGUGAUGAUAAUACAGUUUUCUUAGGCAAAAAUAUUGAAAGAAUAUCACCACACAUUUUUGCACGAAUUUCAUCUGUUUUGUAAUCCAUUGAUGAAAGCCUAAAUUCUUUCCGAAAACGGCUUCGUUUGCUCCCUUCCAAAGGACGUUCUCCAGUUAUUAUCAUGACUCCAAGAUUGCUGAGUUGAAUCUUAAGUUGAUCCUUUUUGAAACCAUUGAGAUGAACCUCAAGCAUGUCACGUUCUUGCUCUCUCUGCCACUUGCUGUAGGGUUCGAAAUCUUCGUAGACAAUAGCUUCAGCCAUAUGUAUCGAUGCUAAUAAUCAACUUGUUUAGUUAAUUUCUUGAGCUUUGGAAGGAAAAAUAGAUAUAUAUGUGGAGAGUAUAUCUAGCUGGGCCGCCUGUUCGUUAUAUUGAUUUCUUU
rnacentral:misc_RNA from 1 species